rnacentral:misc_RNA from 1 species
GUGAAUCAUCGAAUUUUUGAACGCAAAUUGCACUCUCUUCGGUGCGUAUGCCUGUUUGAGGGUCAGCCUCAAUAAAAUCGUCAAAGUUGCUGUUACGUGGUAACAUUCGUCGGAAAUUGGGUCAUCUUAAACUUUUGGGUUUAAGCGGCUUAAAAUUUUCUUUAUGAUUUAAAGUACGUUUCUAAGAUUUUAUUUUCUUAUAUGGUUAAGGUAUCGAUUUUUAUUGGUUGUGGCUGUUGAAUGGGUUUUC